AAGGCUGUACAGGAGCGGGGCCCUCCGGUCAGGUAAAGGGAACAGAUUACUUUUUCCCUCGAUGUUAGCGUGUCCCGGGCAGGGCAGUUCCCGCCUCUGCGUGUGUCAUCUUGUAGUUUGUUUCUUCCGUCUGCCGUGUCUCUGUCCUUCCUCGGCUCUAAAUGUCCUCACAUCUCUUUGUGCUCGAGGAGCACGGCACGCGCCUCGGGCGCCAUCCCUAGGGUAUCGAACGCCCAUCUUCAUCGGCACGCUGCCGAUCGGGUGCUUUUUUAUUCUUGCGUUAUAAGCUUGAAGCGUGGGUAGGUCUUGGAAGUUUCCAGUCGAGAGUCUUUCGUGCAGCAUCAUCAUCGCCGGCUGCGGCAUCAGCUCUGCUCCUUAGGCAUCCAUUUUCACGGACUGUGACGUCUUCCCUGCAUCCCUCCAUCCUAGGAUUCGGACUCGUACUUCUCAUCCACCGUCUCGGUUUUGACGGUAGCUUCUUAUAACGGGCCAUAACGUGUGACUCUUUCUGGGGCUGCCGUAUAGCCUCCUCGCCUCCCAGUUGUGGCCCUCUAGGUCUUCUCGCCUGACAUGGUAUCUUGUCUGAGAGUCCUUAUCGCUUAGAGGUUAUCUUGGAAUCAAACCUUUCGUAGCGUUUAGCAUUAGUGUAUGCGUGUGCCUGUUUGGCUCGGAGCUGCCCUGCCUGGGGGGUGUAGAGUCAGGAGUAAGUAGAACAGCAGUAGAAGUCAACGGUUUAAAUGUUGAUACGCUUAGACCGCCUAGGCGACAGAUGUGCGGUCACCUCAUAGUAGCCAUCCAGAGGCUGUGCGGACGGUCGUUUCUAGAGCGUUUUAUGGAGACUGUUGGAGCGGUGUGGGAGCAGCUGUCCAGCAGUAGCAAAUGAGAUGGGAUCUCAAAGGUGUUAAGGCUCGUAGGUGUGGGAGCGUACGCUUUGGGCGGAGGCGCGUGGUUUUCUUUUCAACAACAGGCUGUAGUUGGAUGCCAGCUAGCAUCCCUAGCCGGAAGUGACACCUCCGGAUUUGUUAAGCAUCCGGGUGACUCACAUAACUGUUUUCACAUGCAGAUCGAGGAGAUGCGCCCCAAAGAGUGACGGAGGAGGUGAGCGGAGGGCUGUGAGAAGGUGGGUCACUGAGCGGUGCGGGAGGGAAGAUGGCACCGGUGCUAUCGGAGGGGAUGAUAGCGGUGUGUGGUGUGUUUUGUGGUGUUUUUUGUUUGUUGUUUUUUAGAUGGAGAGCCACAAGCAAAGUAGGAUUUUGGCACCGGAGGCAGCUUGGGCAAGGUGGCACGCGAGCCUUGACGUGACAACUGGAAACGGCAGCGGCAGGGCAGGUGAAGGGCCGAGUUUUUUGUAGGUGCCGCAGAUGGCCGCGGAGGGGCCGAGCCGCACGCAGACGGACAGUGUGAGAAGGUGCUUUGGGAGCCGCCUUUGGGAUCGGAUGAGCGUUUGAAGCGAGCCGGGGUAGUCGCAAGGAGGAUCGUGGGUGACUCGUUAGAAGCGCAAGGGUAACUUUGUCUCUCGGUAUCUUAGGUAACGCCAGCGAUGACGGCUGCACCAUCUG